AUUGAACGCUGGCGGCAGGCCUAACACAUGCAAGUCGAAUGGUAACAGGAAACAGCUUGCUGUUUCGCUGACGAGUGGCGGACGGGUGAGUAAUGUCUGGGAAACUGCCUGAUGGAGGGGGAUAACUACUGGAAACGGUAGCUAAUACCGCAUAACGUCGCACGACCAAAGAGGGGGACCUUCGGGCCUCUUGCCAUCAGAUGUGCCCAGAUGGGAUUAGCUAGUAGGUGGGGUAACGGCUCACCUAGGCGACGAUCCCUAGCUGGUCUGAGAGGAUGACCAGCCACACUGGAACUGAGACACGGUCCAGACUCCUACGAGAGGCAGCAGUGGGGAAUAUUGCACAAUGGGCGCAAGCCUGAUGCAGCCAUGCCGCGUGUAUGAAGAAGGCCUUCGGGUUGUAAAGUACUUUCAGCGGGGAGGAAGGGAGUAAAGUUAAUACCUUUGCACAUUGACGUUACCCGCAGAAGAAGCACCGGCUAACUCCGUG
rnacentral:rRNA from 1 species